AGCUUUCUUUCUCUGCCACCCUCCUGGCUUACGCACUGUGACGAGGAAUCUGCCAGGUCAGAGAGGCUCGCCUCACAAAGAACCAAGAACAGCAGCAAGGAACUGAGGCGUUAGUCCCGCGAUCCACUUGCAAAGAACUGAAUCCUGUCUGCAACCAUCCCUGUGAGCUGGGAAGCAGAUACCCCCUCGGUCGAGCCUGAGGGGAUGACCGCCUCCCCGGCUGCCACUUGACUAUGGCCUGUGAGAGACCCUCAAGCAGUGGGCCCAGUGAAGCCACACCAGAUCCAGAAAUAGACGAACGUCUUGAGUUUUAGCGGAACACGUGGCUGGCCAGCUCGAGGCCACGCUUCCCAGCUGCUUUUGCAGCUAGAAAGUGGCACCAACUAGUAUGAUCACAUGAGAUGCAAAAUGGAAGCGAAAGAUUGAAGGUGACAGACUAUCAGGGCCAGCGUACCGGCCUGCGCGCCCGUAGGACAUCGUGUAGCAGAGCUGUCCGCCAGUGUUCCCCACCCAUGGCUGCGCUGUUCCAUGGAGGACAAGUUAACAUUGAUGCUACUUCAGAAUUGAUGGCUAGAGCUGCAGUAUCAUCUUGUAACCACAGGAGAAAGGUCAGGAGAAUCAGAUACAUCAACCCUGACAUCAGUGACCCAGAGAACCAAGGCCAGCUCUUCUUGACUUCCAGAGGGCGGAGAAGGACAAUGCCUUCCUCGUCAAUGGAAGCCGAUCCCAGAGGCUCCAGCCCUGGGAGUAAAUGAGAGAUGGAGGAACUGGAUUGUCUGGAUCCAGUUUUUACCAAAAUGAUGGGCCAGAGAAAAGAAGGAACCUUACGGAGUAUGACCUAGUUACAUUUCCAUCCCAAGGAAAAAUGAGGAGAGAGAGAGCGAGCAUGAGCAGCAGAAGGAC